UAGCGGGGGAAAGCCGGGCCCUCUUUUCCUGAAACCCGCAGCCGGGCGGCGACAUUUCUGCUGCCCGCGUUGCAGGCCUCCGCCAUCUUGUACACGUGGUGGGGGGAUGUGACACUGAAUUCUUUCUGAGGUUCUCCACCUCCUCGUCAGCGACGGUCCUUUCCUUAGGAGAUCGCUCUUGUCUUCUCGACUCUGGGUGGCUGAUAUUCCUGUGCAACCUCCAGCAAAGACCGUGGGCGAUGGGAGAGGAGGGGUGUUGGGGCUUCUGUAGAGAGGAGACCGGGUAUCGGGUUCUUACGCAAGAAGUGGGACUGGGGUCUCUAGAUGAAUGCCUGGGUUGUUCUCGAGAACCGGGUAGGAGUGGACGUAGAAGAAAGCAAACAGGGCCUUUGUUUAACUGCAGGAAGCGUUCUCACAGGGUCGCUCUAGAUGUCGGAGGGUUUUGUUAACGUUAGUUCUGGCUUAAGGCUUUUUUGAACUUCGGUUUCCUGGCCGCUGAGUGCUGCCACGUCCCUGCAACAAAGCCCACGUGGAGUCAGCCCGCUGAUUGUCUUUCUCCCUCGCCCGCCGCUACUCAGCAAGGAUCCCCCCAGUUGAGUUUCCUCCUUCAGGCAACCACCUGGAAAACCAUUGACUUUAUCCUAACUGUUGCCAUGUCACAAAUGGAGGGAUUUUUCUCAUGCAUUCAUCCUUGAUCCUGGCAUGCCCUCCUUUGGCAUUGUCCCGUACGUUCCUUUUUCGUACAUUUUCCCAACGUACAGGAAAAUAGACUAGGUUUGGAGGCCCAUCCCAGGAGGACAGUCCCUGUGCAUCUCUGACACCAGGAAGUUUGGGAUAUCCUGGUGGUUCCACAAGGAGAGCUGUGGUCAGCUUGUCCUUUCCUGAUGGAUUUUGUGUUUCCCAGUCUCUAAGCUCUGUUAGCUUGGCCUCUGUCCCUGAAGGUGUGUCUUCAAGCCAGUGGGCCACCCACCACCAACCUCAUCGUGCAGGCACAUCAUCAGGAGCAGAUGGCCCAAAUCCUCUGUACAGCUGGGUGGGGGCAAUAACCUUUCCUGCCUUCCAGAGGUGGUUCCUCCAGGAGUCCAAGGACCCAGCCAUCCCUUGAGGAAGGAGGACCAAGGAGGUCGGCUUCGAUUCCCCACUUCUGCCGCUUCUGACCUUUGUGGACUUUCAUUGCUCGUCUGUACAUAGCUGGUUCCCCGAGGCAUCCAAGAGCCCGGCUGUCCCUCUCGGUGAGAACAAUUCCUGGUAGUGAAGCUACUGUGACAGCUCCCUGCCAGGCCCUCUUGC